GUUAGUAGUUCCUCAGGCCAAACCGCCAUUUUGUACGGGGACCUUGUGCUACGGGAGCUGCUGUGGAGCAGGCGUGGGGCGCAGUUCUGAGGCGGGGUCUGGAGAAGCCGGGGCGUGUCGGCUUCUAGCAGACAAGGCCGGAGGCGUGAUUCUUCUUAGGGCGUGGGUGGAAGUCAGCCCGGGAGAGCGCUCUCGCUGGAAAAGGGGACACGGAAGAAUUUAAAGAUUGCCACCGGUAGAGGCAAGUUCUGGAGCGACCCUGUCCAGUAGGGUAGCCACUAAUCAUGAGGAGUUUUGCCGAGGAGCAGUGAAAACACCACAAGGACUGGCAUUAGUUCUUGAAGCAACACUCGAGAACCAUCUUUUUUUUUCCCCUUGAACCUCAGUUUGGCCAUCUGUAACAGUUAUCCUGAAUCUGGCAUUCAGCGUUACUGCUGACCACAGAUUUUUGAAGAGGAUUUGAUGGAAUGGUGGUUAUGUGUGUGCCCCCAGAGUCCCACCACCAUGGUCAGUGAGCGGAGAGGAGGGGGAUGUUCCAGUCUGUGUGUGGGGAUGGCAACCAGCAGGUCCUGGGCUGGCAGAGGCAGAGAUGAGCGACAGCAGGAUGCAUAUUCCAUUUUUCCUCAAGAAUCAACUGCCUAAACCCCCACCAUCCAGAGGAGACUAAGGACAAGAGGCCAUGUCACUUGCCAAGGUCACGAGUGGUAAGCGGUGGAGCAGGAAUUGAAUUCUGAAGUCCUUGCUUCUGGCCGCUCUGCUAGGCUGCGUGUUUGGUGGAAAUGGUGCUACCAUGCCCUUUCCCGCUGUGCUGAGCAGGAGACCAGUGGGGAGCAGAGCCCGAGGCACUUGGUCCAAGCACUUGUGUGGGAAAGGAUGCCAGGAGUGGAGACUGGGCACCAUAAAGGCAAAGUCUGCAGAAAACACCUCCAGCUGAUCCUCUCUUUCUUUCACUCUGCACAUGGCAGAGAGAUUUCUUGUGUGUGACAGGGUAUAUGCUGAUUUCAACCCACACAUCUUUCCAAACCACUCAGCAGCUGCCUUUUGCUUGUUUUAUCCCCUAUCUAGAAUCUUUCCAGUGGAAAGGUUUUUAAAGUGUCAUCUCCCCUCACUGAAGAUGAAGUCUGUGAUUUAAACUCACAACUUUUUCUCUGGAUGACUCCGAAAGCUGUUCAGU
ensembl:lncRNA